rnacentral:rRNA from 1 species
AUGAACGCUGGCGGCGUGCCUAAUACAUGCAAGUCGAGCGAACAGACGAGGAGCUUGCUCCUCUGACGUUAGCGGCGGACGGGUGAGUAACACGUGGAUAACCUACCUAUAAGACUGGGAUAACUUCGGGAAACCGGAGCUAAUACCGGAUAAUAUAUUGAACCGCAUGGUUCAAUAGUGAAAGACGGUUUUGCUGUCACUUAUAGAUGGAUCCGCGCCGCAUUAGCUAGUUGGUAAGGUAACGGCUUACCAGGGCAACGAUGCGUAGCCGACCUGAGAGGGUGAUCGGCCACACUGGAACUGAGACACGGUCCAGACUCCUACGGGAGGCAGCAGUAGGGAAUCUUCCGCAAUGGGCGAAAGCCUGACGGAGCAACGCCGCGUGAGUGAUGAAGGUCUUCGGAUCGUAAAACUCUGUUAUUAGGGAAGAACAAAUGUGUAAGUAACUAUGCACGUCUUGACGGUACCUAAUCAGAAAGCCACGGCUAACUACGUG